UAAGCACUCAAUAAAUAUUAGCUGCUAUUGU
rnacentral:piRNA from 1 species